CUCAGUGGUGUGGUAAUGGAUUCACAGAUUUUUCUCGCUGCUCUCCUGCUUCUCUUCGGUUUGGCGACAGUUGCCGCUCAGUCUUCCUCACCUGGCAUAGUGUGUGAGGGGAAGAA